CAAGAUCUCAUACUCGAUUCAGCAGGCGUUGAUUGGCCUCUCAGCUAUGUACGAAUCCAGCUGCCUAAUCUAAGAUUGGGAAGUGAAAAGUGAAAUCAGAAAGAAUGAGAGUAAGAAAAUAGGGAAGCUUGUUACCAUGUAGACCUAUGUCGGGCCACUUUCAUCCAAUUCCACCUAUGGUCUCCAUGGAACUGGAGAAUGGGAGUUUGAUUUUGCUGCUCUUGAAACUGAACUGUGGGAAGGCAAAGGGAGGAAGAUUUCAGAAGUGAAGGGUUUCCAUUCGGGCUGUUCAGUAUCUAUAGUUGUUUUCCAAUUCUAAUCAACUCUCCAUGGGAUGUCUGCUUUCAUCCAGUCAAUGAGAAAGUUUAUAUUGCCAUGGCUGGCCAACAUCAAAUUUGGCAACUUGAUACAGCUGAUGGGAUUACUAGAGCAUUUAGUGGUGAUGGUUAUGAAAGAAAUCUGAAUGGAUCAAGCUCUUCAAGCAUAUCAUUUGCACAGCCUUCUGGAAUUUUAUUAUCUCCUGGUAU